GCGAAGGUAUUGGUUUUACAAUUAUGUGGGUUUUUUUUUGUGUCUGUAUACACUGUAACUUGUUUUAUACUGGACCAAUUCUUUCGAGUAGGAACUCUAUAAAUCAAAAAUGUCAUCUAGAUGGUACUUUGGGGAGGGGAGGGGGUAAAAGUUGAUAAAGCUUACUAUUUAAAAAAAACAUAAUAGUUAUAAAGUUUGAACUAUUACUGGCUAUAAUUUCGAUAAAAAGAGUCGGAUCAAGUUGAAAUGUAUAAGGAAUAUUUAUUCGGUAUGCCCCCACACGUCACUAGUCUAAAAUUUAAAUUAUAUCCAUUUCCCAUCCCCCUAGGAAUUGACAACGAUGUCAAUAUUAUUUAUUGUUAUUAAUAUAAUUAUUUAUUAGUAGCUAAAGAUUUUUAAGGUGAAACUUAGUUUCAAAGUUUCCCCUGACCGGCUGCCACUGAAACUGUAUUUUUAAUUACUUACCUAAAUAACUGUACUUAUAAGUGAACACACGGUAUAAACAAACCAUUCACUUGAUAUUUGGAAAAUAAACGUUUUUCAUAAACUACUUAAAAACACUGGCUUAAAAUAUUCAAACAUAAAUUCGCCAUUCCACGGAUUAGUCAAAAUGUGUUUGUUUUGAAUAAUACUAUUUAUCGGACAACAAAUAACAAUACUUAAUAUGACUUAUGUUCACUUACAGUUUAAUACGGUUUUCUUAACAUUUCAAAUGACACUUGGCCUUGCUAAUUACCUCUACACUAGUGAUUACUUCUAUCUAGAAUAUUAAUGUUAGAAAACUAACAAGUCCAGAUGUUUGCUGAUACGUCGAUCCCGGCGACGUUCAUAGUGAAAGCUUCAACCCCGCCGCCACCGACGAUGAUUAUCCACGGUGGGCGCAGCAUCAACAACGACAAAAGCUCUGGUCUGCGAUGGUCAAACACCGAAUGCCAAACAGCCAUCGACGCCGCCGACCAUCGAGGAGCUGACCGGCGAGGAAAUGCAAACGGGCCAGAUGUUAUGAGUUGAUCAACAGCCGCCAACGGUCCGAAUAGUUGUCUGAAGAUGUUAGGUUCAAUAUCGACGUCGGCGGGAUUAAUUUCUUCUUUGUUGCUGUCGCUGGUGUAGAUGCUUUCGCUGUGGACGUCGCCGGGAUCGACGUAUCAGCAAACAUCUGUGGUGGCGGUACUGUUGUAUCCAAGACCGGCGGGGACAACAGUUGUAUGUCCACCUACAACGACGAAGGCGGAAAAAACAAUUUCAGUAUAUAGAUCGAUUUUCACGUAUAGAUCGUUAGACCUG